GAGAGCUCAGCUACACUGAGGUCUUUUGGAGAUUCUUUAAGCUCCACUUAUACUGGAAGGCAAAAUGGUGUUAGUUAUCUGCAGGUGAAGUCCUGGGGAACUCACAGAUUAUGUAAAGACAGCUGCUGAGAGAGACGUGUUUGCUUGGGCCUAGGAAGAGAAAACCUAGUGGAUAUCUCACUGCUGCCUAUAAGUUUACUUAGUGUAGAGGAGAUGGAGCUCUUGGAAUGUCAGUGAGCAUCUUUUUGUGGAACCUCAAAGCUGUGCUCAUGGUGAAAGAAAGUAACAACACUGCUCUAGAAAGAAGAAACUCUCAGAUGUAAUCCUGAAAUAAACUACCAGCAAAACACAGAGAGGAAGAUAACUAAGCCAUUAAUGAAACUGCCCAAGAGAAGAAGGCUCUUCAGUAGUGAAUGAUAACUGAGUUUGUGAGAAACUCAAAAAACAUCCUGAGGAAAGUAUGAGAAAGCCAUGACAUAUCUAAUAGAUAUCAAUAAGGUGAAAAGCCCAAUUACCCAAAUAGAAAGUGAAUAUAUGGACUAAUCUUCAAAGACUGAAUUUGACAUUUUGAUGAUUUUUUGUUUGCUUUCUGAGCAUCUGCUGAGACCACAUAUUUUAAGCAAUACUUAGGAAAGCUAAUCUAAAGAUUGCACUUUCCUGAUGCACUGGUGGAGGAGCAUGACACACAAAAAGAAGAGGCUUGUAUGAAGCAGUGACCAGUUCAGCUCCUCCUGCUGCAGUCCUGGAAGGUUACACUGCUCUUCUGCAGGAACAGAAGCUCCUUAGGGGCAGAGUUAAGCUGGGGUGGAAACUGCUCCAGCUGCCUUAUUUCUGAGUCAUCCCUGCCCAAAUGUUCCUUCUCACCUUUGUGCCUUAAACAUGCAUGAUGUCACCUGGAACAGGACAGGACAAAGCUCCUUCCCUCCUGCUCUACAAAGAUACCCACUGUUCCUCAUGUCAGGUUGAUAUUUAUUGCACUAGAAACAUUCCACUGUGUAAGAGGAUCACAGACCAGCUGAGGCAGGAAGGCACCUGUGAAGUUCUUCUGGUCCAAAUAUCUGCUCAAAGACAAGUCUGUGAAAGCAAGUUGUUCAGGACAGUGUCCAUUUGAUUUUGAGUGUCUUCAAGGCUGGAGCAGAGUGGAAGGAUCAGCUCUCUCAAACUGCAGACAAUGCUCUUCCUAAUGCAGGACAAGAUAAUAUUUGCCUUCUUUCUACAGUGACACACUUGUAAUUUAAAUUUUUAAAUCUAAAAUGCUCCCUCUUAUUUCUAAAUUGUUGUAUUGUUUCUGUCCCAGUCCUCCUCAGUAGGUAUAUACAUCUUCCAUUAAUCCCCUAAGUACCACUCCACAUGUACACUUCUCAUUAACUCACAGAGUUCCAUCCUAAAGUAAAUAUGUUUGUUUUCUUCAGAAACCACACUGGAUCAAUUUUUCUGAAAUUGUUUUCUUCUUAUUCGUGUAACUAAAUAACCUUCUCCUUCCAGUCUUCCAAGCAAAAUCUUGGUUGUAGCCUCCAUCUAAAAAAGCUUCCCUGGUUCUCCAUGCCUAAUUGCUCAAUUUCAUGUUUUUCUGCCCUUUUCCAGCAAUCACCUCUUUCAAAAAAAUCAACUCAGUGGUCCUUUGCUUUCAAUCUGCUUUUCAGAAAGUUUUCCAUUAAAACAUUCCUCCCUCUCACUUCCUUUGGCAGGUCUUAUGUCCCUGGAUAAUGCUCAGCAGCAGCAAGCUAUGCUCAGCAUCAUUUCUUAGCAGAUGGAAGCAGUGAUUUGUCCACACUUUUUCCAGACCCUCACAUUCUCUGCUUUUCCUGUUUUUCUUUACUUAUGGCAUGGUUGUCCAGGAUUACAUAAUUCAAAAAACCCCCCGUGGGCAGUGACAGCUUCUGGUUUGCACGGACCAAACUUCAGGAGGGUUUUCUCCCAUUGUUUUGUUAAAAGUACUCAGCAGAUCAAUUGCUUAUUCUGUUACUAAUUCCAGACAAAAUUUUCAAAUUAAUAUUAGUGACAUAGACUUUAAAAUAGCUGUAAAAGUUGACCACUGGAAAGAUGAAAGAGAAAGAAAGUGAGGAAUGUAGAAAUCAGAAUCAAAUGAAGAGCCAGUACUUGAGGAAAAAACCCCAUGAAAAUCACAGGAUGGCUCUACCUAGAAAUUACAGACAUGUGCCAAUACAGCUAAAGAAACCAGACUGUGGUAACACUUUUUAGAUUUCUGCAAUUUUUUGUGGUAUUUUGAUAUACUAACAAAAAGAAUUCCUUUCUUAGUAGCUUGACCUUUCAAUUUUAUUGUUACACAGAUGCAUAGAGACCCCUAAAAACCAAAGCCCUCAUCUAUUGCUCAGUCCUGUUUUACAGAUAAAAGCUCUUUGCCUGAUGGUAAAGCCUGACCACUACUGAGUAGUUGUCAAAGAACCAAAAAGUGCAUUAGCAGCUGGGCAUGUGAUUUAUUUUUAACAAAGACCCAAUGCAAGCACUGGAAUUAGGGUAUGUAUCAUAUGACAGGAUUUUGUACAGGUAGGCAGUCUUUCAGAUGAGCUUUGUUCUUCUUGGAAAUGACACUUGAAACUUUUAUAAUAUGAUUAACAAGUUCUUCCUUAGGAAGAUCCUGUUUUAUCCUAGAGGGUGUGUCUAGCCACAGUGGGAAUAUGGCAGAAAGCCAGGAAGGAAACUGCAAAUACUGUAAGUGCACUUGUCCUGCAGAGAUGAAUAGUCUUCCUUAUCCUCAAGGUGCAGCCAGGUGAAGGAACAAGCUCCUCCUCUUAUCAGCUGGGAUUUGCUGAGGCUUAGAGUUUAUUAGAUCUGGAGACCUGCUAAGAAGGGAGUCAUGAGCUCACCCAGAGGCAAGAAAGCAGGAAAAGAUUCUUGUGAAAAGAAAGUCAAGCUCUGUCAAAAUUGGUAAAAACACUUCAGUUCUGCUGCCCUCUCCCUAGGAUGGUGUGGGCUGCUGGAAUCUCUGCUUUAGGCACUGCAUCUGUAAAAAGACUCCUUCAAUAAAAGGUGGAGGCAGCAAAAAUAUUUCCUUCCCAACCUACUGGUUAGUUUUAUCAGUAAUGCAAUGGUAUGCCUUUUUAUCUGAUAGGUAGGAUGAAAUUAGCUUCUACUUAAUUAAGUGAGCAUGUGUGAAUAAUCAUUUCAGACUAAUGAAGCCAGGAAUGCAGUGUAACAUCCCAGGGGUUUCCUAUGGUAGCAAGUGAUCUGACAUAGUCAGGAACUCAAGCUCAUUUUCAUUCUGCAAGAGAUGCCUUAGAUUCAGGGAUUUGGGGUAGCUGCUUUAUUUGUGUGAGACCUGAGUUACUAAUUUUGAUCACUUCUAUUUGCUAUGCACACUCAGGUUUAUAAUUUUUUUUUUUUACGUUGCUGAAAUUAUUUAUGUGAAUUUCAAUCAUUUAAAGAAGUUUUUAAUGUAUGAAAAUCAUUAAAUAAAUCUAAAACUGAGAUAAAUCACCAAACCUUCAGUGUAUAUGGACAUAUUUUGAAAAUUUAAAUGCGUAGAGAGGAAUGAUAUAUCUUGAGCAAAAAUCACCCUCUCCCUCCCCAAAAAAGGUAAUUGCUAAACUUCUCUAAAAAUCAGCUUUUAAAGGAAUGAUGAGACCUACCAGAGCACAAAUUCUGUGAAAGGAUUUGAACUAUUGUGUGCAUCCUGGGAAGCUUGAGAAAUGACCCCAAAAGACUGUCUAACAAGAUCUGGAAGGUGCAAACAUGAGAGUUUUAGGUGCUGAUAACGCCUUUUGCUGAGCUGGGUGGUGAGCUGGGGAAUAAUAUGGUUCAGUGCUUGAGGAGCAGUUGUGGUUUGCACUCUUCCCAGUGUGCUGAGAGCCAGGCAGCCUCAGCUGCUGAGCAGCCUCUCUGCUGCUGACUGAAAUGCAUCAGACCCUGGAGUGUUUCAGUCAGCAGCACAGAGCAGGACAUGCACAGUAUCCGUGGUGUGCAUCAGGAUUUCAGUAAAUCUAUUUCUAUGCAUCUGCACACUGUAGACCACCUUUUCUGCAUGUUGUUAUUUGAGGGUGCUAAAAAGUAGGUGGCAUUUAGAUUUAGAUAUUCUUGUUGUUGGUUUAAAACCAUCCAUUUCUAAGUUAUCACGGUACAAGUUAGGAGACAAAAAAAAAAAAAAAGAAAA